CAAUAGCGUAUAUUAAAGUUGUUGCAGUUAAAAAGCUCGUAGUUGGAUUUCUGGGAGAGUGGCGAUGUCCGCUUAACGUGUGUGCAGCGACGCUCUUCCAUCCUUCUGUUAGCGUCUCUCGGCAUUCAUUUGUCGGUGGCGGGCUCAGAUAUUUUACCUUGAGAAAAUUAGAGUGUUUCAGGCAGGCUAGGCCGGAAUACAUUAGCAUGGAAUAAUGGAAUAGGACUACGGUCUCUUUGUUGGUUUGAGGGACUGCAGUAAUGAUUAAUAGGGAUAGUUGGGGGCAUUAGUAUUUAAUUGUCAGAGGUGGAAUUCUCAGAUUUGUUAAAGACUAACUUAUGCGAAAGCAUUUGCCAAGGAUGUUUNCAUUAA
rnacentral:rRNA from 1 species